UAUGAGACCCUGGAUCAUUCGGACGAAUGGAUUACUGAUUGCCUUAAUGAUAAUGAGAUGCAUUUCAGCUCUGAUACUAUGAAUACUUCUGGCACAUCUGAUUUUCAAAUUGAUAUCGCAGAGUUUUGCGAGAUUGCACCCGAGUAUGAAAAUAAUUUUCCACAACAACGUGUUUCUACUCCACAGAAGAUAGUUUUCAAAGGUA